rnacentral:tRNA from 1 species
GGAGGAGUGCCGGAGCGGUUAACGGAACGGAUUGCUAAUCCGUGGCGGCCUAAACGCCGCCCGUGGGUUCGAAUCCCACCUCCUCCG